rnacentral:tRNA from 2 species
GCCGUCUUAGCUCAGCUGGUAGAGCAACAGUUUUGUAAACUGUAGGUCCAGGGUUCGAACCCCUGAGACGGCU